rnacentral:tRNA from 3 species
GCGCGGUUAGCUCAGUGGUAGAGCACUUCCUUGACGUGGAAGGGGUCGGAGGUUCGAGUCCUCCACCGCGCACCA